CUUUUUUUCGAUGCUGUGUGUUUGCUUUGCGCCCGUCGCCUCGGGCCAAAACACCUCAGCGGCAGCGCGCAGCAGUGACUGUUGUUGUUUCGGGUCUAUUUUAUAUUUAUUUCGUGCUUUGCUCACAAGUUGUGUGUGUGUGUGUCGGUUGGCUGGGCGGCUGCUUGCCCGGGUGGUGAGGAGCAAGGGCUGGGGCAAGGGCAUGUGCAAAAAUAUGAACUCACACAGACACAGGCAAUACAAUUUAAGUUGACGUUGAGCAGGCACCAGGACGACAGUAUAUAUGUAUGUAUAUGCGUGUGUGUGUGUUUGUGUGUUUGUGUGUUUGCUAAAGUGCGUGUGUAUAUUUUAAGUAUCCUGUUUGCGCUGCUUUGCUGCUGAUGCUGUGGCUUCUGUUGCCUACUUUCUGGCGCUCGAAGCCUCGUAUUCCUUUUAUUUGGCUUGGCUCUUCUUGUCGCUGUUGUUGCUUUGUUUAGUAUUAUUUUGCGUAAAUAGAAUUUACGUGUUCUCGACACGUUGUGCCCGCUGAUACUUGUAUAUGUGAGUAGCUCCGACGUGUACAUACAUCCAUGGCAUGCAGCAUUCGAUGCUCUUGUAUUGGUAAAUUAACUUUGAUUACUCGCUGUGCUGUUUGGCUGUCAAUGGCUUUUGUGGCUGGCUUCUCUUUCUCUGCAAUCCAAAAAUAACGGUUUCCAGCAGCUAACACAAACGAGUAUGUGUGUGUAUGUAUAAUCCAGGUGCGAAUAACAAGGUGCAGGUUAAGGCAAAUUUAUAUUUAUUGUCACAUUCUCAGUGAAAAACACUCCUCAAUUCAAAUUAAUCGUUCGUUCCUUUGCUUCUCUUUAAUCUGUUGUAUUUUUUGACGAACCUCUGCCUCCUCUUCUAGUUAUGUGUCUCAAAUUUCACCUUGUUCUUCUCCUUCCUUUACAUAAACGCUCCGAUUCAGCACUUCCUCUUAGUCCAGCCUCCUCCUACUUUGCUUUGCUUUCCUUUCACUGCCGCUGCUGCUGCUGCUGCUGCUGCUGGUGCUCCUACUUCGAGGAUGGUGAUGCCGCUGCGCUCCUUGUUUUUGCUGCUGGCCACAACAGCUGCUGCUGCACGCGCCGCACUCGGAUAGCACGUGCUGUUUCCCACGACAUAGAGAAAUCAAAAGAGGAGCCCACGACAGGGAGCCCACGACAUAUACCCCAAGGAUAUUUCAAAUGUUGCACUGUGCACAAAGUUGCCCGAGAAUGUUGCCCACGAUACACACUGGGCAUAAC
rnacentral:lncRNA from 1 species